AGCUUUGCGCAGUGGCAGUAUCGUAGCCAAUGAGGUUUAUCCGAGGCGCGAUUAUUGCUAAUUAAAAAAUAGGGAAAGAAUGUGAGGAUCUCAGGAAAAGUAACUUUCUGGAGAGCUCCUUACUGU
rnacentral:snRNA from 1 species